UUUUCCAUCUAAGCUGGCCAAUCAGCCUCUCUGGAAUUUGGACUUGGAACUGACAGUGCAGCUUUAGACUGACUGUUAACUUGAACCAAGGAGUCGGGAAACUUGAAAGAUGUUGUUAGUGACUAUUUUAGGCAUUAUGGAAAAACCAAUUUGCAGGAAGACAGAGGAUUAAGGCGGUUGUGCAGUUGUGAGAGUGGGGCAAAGAGAGAAAAAAAGAAUAGAUUUCUUAAGGUGAUCCAGUCCCCAGUUCUAUUACAUUUCGGAGGCCCAGCUUAAAUAAUGAUGAUAGCUAAUGUUUAUUGAGCACUUGAUGUGUGUCUGGUGUAAUUAUUACAGUGAUCCUAUAGACAUUCUAGUUCUCAUUUUACACAUGAGGGGGAAAAGCAAACUUCUUAAAAUCCUUAAGUGCAAUUGUUACAGAGGCUGCCAAAUCUCACCUCUCCCCCUACCCUCUUUCCCAUCUCCUUUCUUUCCUAUCCCCAACCUCCACCCACCCACCCCCACUCAAGGUCUUCCCCUUUAGGUCAAUUUCCCACUUUUCUAUGGAGAGCUUUUUCUCGGGCUUCUCUGUUUGGAUAAUGAUUAUAUCAGUAAGGAAUUGCAGUUGAAUAACAGACUGGACCUCAGUAACUUAAAAACCUUGGAUUUGGGCCCUGGCCGAUUUGGCUCAGUGGAUAGAGCAUUGGCCUGUGACCUGAAAGGUCCCAGGUUCAAUUCUGGUCAAGGGCACAUGCCCGGGUUGUGAGCUCGAUCCCCCGUCGGGGACUUGCAGGAGGCAGCCGAUCUAUGAUUCUCUCUCAUCAUGGAUGUUUCUAUCUCUCUCUCCCUCUUCUUCUCUGAAAUAAAUAAAAAUAUGUUUUAAAAAACCCUGGGAUUUGGGUUCAAGGAUGUCAGACCAAAGGUUACUGUGAAUUCCUGGCUUUUCUUUUGUGGCCUCCAGGGGCUGCUUUGCAGACACAUCUUAUUUACAUUCCAGGCCAAAGACCAAGGAAGGACUGAGGGCUCCCUGGGGAGAAGCACAUUGAACAUUUUAAGGCAGGAAAUUUGAGGGUCUGGAAUAUCUUGUUUUUGCCAGAAAAUAAUACUUUCAAAGACCCUUUUGUAACAAGCUAAGUUAUGUCUAGUAAUUGUUACAGUAUUUUAUGUGCGUUUUUCUGCCUUUUAAGGUGAGUGAAAGACUUAUGAAUAGGACAUAAUAAUAAAAAUUCCAAAGAAGAUACAGGUAAUUAAAUUUGAAAUCAUUUUUUAAGUUAUAAUUUAUUAAAUUCAUAAGGUUAAACUUUAGAUUUAGUGUGUUUUAACUGUUUAGGAAGAUUUUGUCUAUAGAAAUAUUAGUUCUUUUUGGGUGUUUGAAGGGCUUGAGAAAAUUAGAUGUAUUAAAAUUAGAUUACACUUUAAAUUUUCCAAAAUUUAAUUUUUUAAAUUUGAUAAACAUUUGAAUAGACUUUAUCAAAUGUAUAAAUAGGCAUAAAAUAAAAUAAAAUAUUAACAGAAAAUUAAUUCCAUUUGUAAAUAACAAGUUUAAAGGCUUAGAAACUAAGUUUUAAAAUAUACAAUUUAAAUAUGUAAAACAUAAGUUGAAACUCAACUUAUUUAUAUCAAUGCAUAAAAGCUCUCUUUAGACAUAAGGAAAACUCAGGAAACACUUGGGUGUAUAGGUCAGUGUAGGUAAGUUAUAGUUCUAUGUUAACAAGCAACUCCAACAGCCUCAGUGGUAGACAGUGAUAAAUGGUUCUGACUCAUGUCUCAGGUCUACUGUAGUCUAGUUCUUACUCAUGUCAUAGAUCUGUUGUCUGUCUGCAGCUCUGCUCAGAGUUCUCUUCAUUCUGAGAGCCAGGCUGAUGCUGAUAAAGUGCUGCAAAAUAGCCCAUUUCGGCUGAAGGAUUAUUUUGAACUGAAGGCAAUUGAGAAGCAGAUACAAGAAAAGUUCUGUGCCUUCUCCCUAUUUGCCUAAAAGCAGAACAUUCUUUUAUAAAGGUGCGCUUCCUCCUCUCUUUACAGAAAGGACAAAAGUUAAUCCCCAGAAGCAACUUUAAACCCUUAUCAAUGGAAAAGGCACUACCUUAAAUCUGCAUAACAAACCUUAUUCUUGUUUACCACACUUUCCCUGGGUACUUCCCCAUAAUUGGCCUCCCCACAACUUUAGCAGAAGAUAUUUAAGCCUGAGUCCUGAACCACUCCUAAGAGUUAUUCUUUUUCCCUGGAUAUCUCCCAUGUGUACAUGAGGUACACGUUAAUUAACUUUUAUUUGUUUUCUUUUUGUUAUUAUGUCUUUUAUUAUAGGGGUCUUGGCUAAGAGCUCAGAAAGGAAGAGAAAAAUUAUUUCUUCUCCCCUACAGCAUAUCAAUACAUUUUUGUUUGUUUUAUUUUUCUCUUCUUAAUCUCUUUUGUUGUAUAGGUCCCAGCCUAGAACUUAGAAGGAUGAAGGAAAAUUAUUUUUCUCUCCUACACUCAUGGAAGAGAAAGAGAACAUGGUGGAAACACAUGGUGUCUCUUAGAACUUCUGCUUAAAGCGAUACUUAAGGUUGGACCAAAUGAUGUUUUCCUGGGAGAAGCAGAAGACGCCGAGCCGGCCUCCUCGCAUGGUGGUGUCUAUGGUGACUCCAGAGUCAGCCACCAACUCGGAGCCUUCAUAGAAUCGCACCCUGUGGACAACACAGCCCGAGCAGACCCAUGAGGCUCAAACCAAGGCUGCUGUAUCAGGAGACUGUAAUCCAUGCUACUUCGUAAACACACUGCAUAAGCUGGAGGAAUGAGAAAGUGAGUACAUUGUCUAAAUUCCACAGCUAUAGUCCUAAGCCAUCCUAGCUUCUGAGAACAGUUUUUAGUUUGUUUUAAAAAUAGCCCUAUAGGGAAAUAAGGCAGAUUACAGUGACUUACAUGAAGACUGGUACAUGCCAGGCACUGUGCCAGGUGCUGGUAGACCAAGAUGAAAUAAGGCACAGCCCUCGUGGAGCUUAUGUCCAGGAGGAAAGACAGACUCUAAGGGAUUCACUGCAGUGUGAAAUAUUCAUGAGUAAGUGAUCACACAGCGCAGGGGAUCACGGGACGUGUGGAUGGAGACUCAGCCACACGGGUCAGCCUGAGUCUUCCUCCCCGCUCUUUUUGUGAGCCAUAGCCCAAGGUCUCAAACCCUGGCCUGCAAUGCAGAAUGAGGGUGUGCUUUGCGUCCGGCGCAAGGUGAGAUGGGUCGUCCGCCUACCUG